rnacentral:rRNA from 1 species
UACGGGAGGCAGCAGUGGGGAAUAUUGCACAAUGGGCGCAAGCCUGAUGCAGCCAUGCCGCGUGUAUGAAGAAGGCCUUCGGGUUGUAAAGUACUUUCAGCGGGGAGGAAGGCGGUGAAGUUAAUAGCUUCACCGAUUGACGUUACCCGCAGAAGAAGCACCGGCUAACUCCGUGCCAGCAGCCGCGGUAAUACGGAGGGUGCAAGCGUUAAUCGGAAUUACUGGGCGUAAAAGCGCACGCAGGCGGUCUGUCAAGUCGGAUGUGAAAUCCCCGGGCUUAACCUGGGAACUGCAUUCGAAACUGGCAGGCUAGAGUCUUGUAGAGGGGGUAGAAUUCCAGGUGUAGCGGUGAAAUGCGUAGAGAUCUGGAGGAAUACCGGUGGCGAAGGCGGCCCCUGGGACAAAGACUGACGCUCAGGUGCGAAAGCUGGGGAGCAAACAGGAUUAGGAUACCCGGU